rnacentral:lncRNA from 1 species
CGGACAUCUGUCCACACUGCAUCUAAGACGGUACGUGAGGCGUUUAUGGUUAGGUCGGCCAUGAUUAAAUGUUGAUUGAUACAUAUACUCCAAUUUGUAUGCGUACUUGUAUAAAGAUCAUUUUUUAUAAGUACCUUUUUAUGAUGGUACCAUCAUCCAUGUGUAGUAAGAGUUGGGAUUAAUUCACAUAAAGUACGGUCUAAAACAAGAGUGAAGAUUUUAAUUACAUCUAACAUGUUACCCAAAAAAAAAAAAAAGAUUUAAUUACAUCGUCGAACAAGUCUGAAUACAUAGUCCAAAAAACAAAAUACAUAUCAUUUUUCUCUUUGUAUCAAAAAC